rnacentral:rRNA from 1 species
AUUGAACGCUGGCGGCAGGCCUAACACAUGCAAGUCGAACGAGUGGCGGACGGGUGAGUAACGUCUGGGAAACUGCCUGAAGGAGGGGGAUACCUCCUGGAAACGGUAGAUAAUACCGCAAACCAUCGGAUGUGCCCAGAUGGGAUUAGCUAGUCGGUGGGGUAAAGGCUAACCUAGGCGCCGAUACCUAGCUGGUCUGAGAGGAUGACCCGCCACACUGGAACUGAGACACGGUCCAGACUCCGACGGGAGGCCGAAGUGGGGAAUAGUGCACAAUGGGCGCAAGCCUGAUGCAGCCAUGCCGCGUGUAUGAAGAAGGCCUUCGGGUUGUAAAGUACUUUCAGCGGGGAGGCGUUACCCGCAGAAGAAGCACCGGCUAACUCCGUGCCAGCAGCCGCGGUAAUAC